rnacentral:rRNA from 1 species
GUGCCAGCAGCCGCGGUAAUACGGGAGGGGCAAGCGUUAUUCAAAAUAACUGGGCGUAAAGAGUCCGUAGAUUGUAAAAUAAGUUAUUUGUUAAAGUAUAAAGCCUAACUUUAUAAGAACAUUUAAAACUAUUUUACUAGAGUUUAUUUCAGAAAAGUAGAAUUUUAUAUGAAAGGAUAAACCCUGUAGAUAUAUAAAGGAAUAUCAAAAGUGAAGACAACUUUUUAGUAAAAACUGACAUUGAGGGACGAAAGUAUAGGUAGCAAACAGGAUUAGAUACCCUGG